ensembl:lncRNA
UCUCUGCUUAAAGCUCUCUUCUCUGGGGGAUUUUUAUGGUGAACCUAGAUCCUUGAAGAUGGGAGCUUGAUCCAAGGCCUGCAGGAGCUGGUGGAAAUCUCCCAGCCGAUGUGAUGUUGCACUAAGCUAGGGAGGAAUGCCCCACUCCUUCACUCUUUCCUGAAGUCAAGAUGCCUGCUUUAAAACUUCAGGAUGCUCCAUUCCCAUAAUUGCGCAGCCACAGCAGAGAUUGGGAAACACCACCAUGCUCCAGGCACAGUAUGUUUCAAACUGUUUGUCUUGUAGGACUUGAAGGCAUUGAUGUUCUGCUGAGUUCCUUCGUCAUGUAACAAGGACUGGGUACUGCCAAAGUUAUGGACUCUCUUUCCAGUGGGAGCUGAUCAGACUUGAAAUGAGUUACAGAGCUUUGCUGUCUCUCUUAGAAGACAGAAGACUGUAGGAAAUAGUCCAAGUGAACAGGAAUAUGACUGGCAGUUGCUGCAGCUCUGCAUGAGCCUGGGAAGGGAUGGUUAUCCCGACUUCAGAAUGAAUUACAAAGAAGCACGUGGCUGGAAGAAAAUGUGAUCAGAGCCAACGUGCUAUUUUGGAGCAUGCCUAAGGUGCUGUGCUGUUCCUUGUGGGGUAGUAAUGAGCGGCCCAGCGGUGGGAUAAGUAACUACAUCUCUGAGUCACUGCUUUGAGGCCCAUGCAACAUGUCUGGCAAAAUUUCUGCACACUCUCUUCCCAGCAUUCCUGAAGAAUGAUUCCUUUUCAUAAAGUUCAGUUGGAACAUACGUCUUCUAAAGGUAUAAGAUGUUGAAAAUGUUGUCUUGGCAAUGGAAUACAAAAUCAUUGGUCUGUUAAUCCGUGCAGAAAGCUGUAGGCUGGCAUAUGGACUGUCUAAGUAUGUAACUUGAUUUCAGUGUGUAUGAUUAGAAAUGUAUAACUGAAUGUUUUCAGAGUCCACAAUCAUGUGUUCAGCCAAGGCUAGCAACUAGGCUCUAUACUAUAUUAAUUACCAGAAGCUGUGGAAAGACAGAAUUUGCUCGCUGAUUGCAUAAACUAAUAAAAUAGGCGUACUUGUAGCUUGGAUUUGUCUUGUGUAAAGCUGCUAAAUUUGUUUAUUGCCAUCUCCUGGGAUUAGACCAAAUAGUUUUAAGGAGUCACAAUUGAAUUAAAAUCCACAGGAAAAACAGAUUUGAUGUUUUUGUCUGUGAUCAUGACCAUAUCGUUGUUCAGGUUCAGUGAACAUGCAUGUAUUUCAUCUAUUUAUGUUUAAAUAAUGUGCACAUCUCUUAUGAUAUACUUGUGGAGGAAAACAAAAUAUCCAAAAUACUACUUCUGCCUUUUUUUAUGUGAUAUCUCUUAGUGAUUCUUAUUAGUAUGGAAAAUGUGUGACAGAGCUAUCAUCACAAUGUCUUGAGCAAAGAUGAGCUAUUACUGCAGCAACAGCACACGUGAGUGUGUGAUAAAGUAUGCUUAUUAAAAGAGCAGAUUGUGUGAAAAUGGGGAAAAAAACAUUGUUUGUAUACGACUGUUCUGUAUGUAGCAGAUCUGAGUAAUGCCGGUCUCUCAUUCUGUCCUCACAAAGGUUACCAUUUCCCUGGUUACACUGAUUAAAGUCUAAGCCAUUUCUGAAGAAUCUG